rnacentral:rRNA from 1 species
AUUGAACGCUGGCGGCAUGCCUUACACAUGCAAGUCGAACGGCAGCACGGGAGCAAUCCUGGUGGCGAGUGGCGAACGGGUGAGUAACGUAUCGGAACGUGCCCAGUCGUGGGGGAUAACGUAGCGAAAGUUACGCUAAUACCGCAUACGAUCUAUGGAUGAAAGCGGGGGAUCGCAAGACGUCGCGCGAUUGGAGCGGCCGAUAUCAGAUUAGGUAGUUGGUGGGGUAAAGGCUCACCAAGCCGACGAUCUGUAGCUGGUCUGAGAGGACGACCAGCAACACUGGGACUGAGACACGGCCCAGACUCCUACGGGAGGCAGCAGUGGGGAAUUUUGGACAAUGGGCGCAGGCCUGAUCCAGCCAUGCCGCGUGCAGGAUGAAGGCCUUCGGGUUGUAAACUGCUUUUGUACGGAACGAAAAGGUUUGGCUUAAUACGUUGAACUCAUGACGGUACCGUAGGAAUAAGCACCGGCUAACUACGUGCCAGCCGCCGCCGUAA